rnacentral:rRNA from 1 species
CAAAAACAUGUCCUUUUGUUUAUAAAUAUAAGGUCUAACCUGCCCAAUGAUUAAUAUUGAAUGGCCGCGGUAUAUUAACUGUGCUAAGGUAGCAUAAUCACUUGUCUUUUAAUUAAAGGCUAGAAUGAAUGGUUGGACGAAGUAUUAACUUUCUUUUACUUAAUUAUAAGAAUUUAAUUUUUUAGUUAAAAAGCUAAAAUUUGUAUGAGGGACGAGAAGACCCUAUAGAUCUUUAUAUCUAUUAUUAUCAUAUAAUUUAGUGAAUUAAUUAUUUUGAUAAUAUAAGUAUUUGGUUGGGGUGACUAUAGAAUAUAAAUAACUUCUAUUAAUAUUUUUCAUUAAUUAAUGUUUAACUGAUCCAGUUUUUCUGAUUAAAAGAUUAAGUUUCCUUAGGGAUAACAGCGUAAUUUCUUCGGAGAGUUCUUAUCGAUGAAGGAGUUUGCGACCUCGAUGUUGGAUUAAAAUAAGUUUUACGUGUAGUAGCUUAAUUACUAGGUCUGUUCGACCUUUAAUUUUUUACAUGAUCUGAGUUCAAACCGGAGAA